CCUACGGGGGGCUGCAGUGGGGAAUAUUGGACAAUGGGCGAAAGCCUGAUCCAGCCAUGCCGCGUGUGUGAAGAAGGCCUUCGGGUUGUAAAGCACUUUCAGUGGGGAAGAAAGCCUUGGGGCUAAUACCCUCGAGGAAGGACAUCACCCACAGAAGAAGCACCGGCUAACUCCGUGCCAGCAGCCGCGGUAAUACGGAGGGUGCGAGCGUUAAUCGGAAUUACUGGGCGUAAAGCGCGCGUAGGCGGUCUGAUAAGCCGGUUGUGAAAGCCCCGGGCUCAACCUGGGAACGGCAUCCGGAACUGUCAGGCUAGAGUGCAGGAGAGGAAGGUAGAAUUCCCGGUGUAACGGUGAAAUGCGUAGAGAUCGGGAGGAAUACCAGUGGCGAAGGCGGCCUUCUGGACUGACACUGACGCUGAGGUGCGAAAGCGUGGGUAGCAAACAGGAUUAGAUACCCCGUAGU
rnacentral:rRNA from 1 species